GUUGUUCCCAAACGCACACAGUAGUGUCAGUAACCAUGGCAACUGCAAACAUUGGCGGAAGUGAAUGUGAGAAACAUUCUAAUAAGCUGUUAGCUGGAAAACAAGUAUGAUAUAGAUUAUAAAACUGCUAUUGUUAAGUCUGUGAGAUGCUUGAGUCAUGGCUAGCAGUAAGGAGCAGGCCUCCAUCAGUCAGGUGAUGUGUUUCCUCCAUGAGUGGGAUCAGGGCAGUAAAACGCUGCGCAGUCGAAUGCUAAGUGACUUUCUGACCAAGAACACAGGAAAGACGUGUCCUGAACUGGAGCUUGAGUUCGCACAAGUUGCUAGCCUUUUCCUUGCUCGGCUCACUGCCUGGAUGAGACUAACCUAUAUGUUUGGAACAUGUCUAGACCUUCAGCUGAGAGCACUGGGGGUUUUCCUGUCUGCUAACAGCAGUCAUCAGUACAUGAUUGAGUUUCUGGAGGUGGGUGGAGUGCUUACCCUGCUUGAGAUUCUAGGACAAGACAAACUCAAGGAAGGGGAUAAAACCGAGGCACUUCGCCUGCUCCAGAUCAUCGCCAACACGGGCCAAAAAUAUAAAGAGCUUAUCUGUGAAAGCUACGGUGUGAAGGCCGUAGCUGAAUGUUUGGCCAAAUCUGAGACAGAGGAGACUCAGGAGACCGCCGCCGCCCUGCUAGAAUCUUUGGCACAUGGAAACCCCAAAUACCAGAUUCAGCUGUACAAGGGCCUAAUCGCCCUGCUGACCUGCACAUCACCAAGAGCACAGCAGCUAGUUUUACAGAUCCUACAUAUAGUUCAGCCCAUUGUGAAAACAGCCCAUCAUAGCAUAGUGGAGCCCUUAUUGAAUCUUCUGAGGUCCCUACAUUUAGAAGUGCAAUAUGAAGCAAUAGAACUGAUAACCGAGCUCAUGCAAUCAGAGGUUAGACUGGCUCUGCUCAGGGGACUGGUGGCUUUUCUCAAACCAACUAAAGAGAGAAAUCCUAAACACAAGAUCCUAGAGGAUCCAGAGGUGGCCAAAAUGACUGAUUCACUCCCUGUGCUUCUCCAGCAAGCAGCUUCUGCAAAAACCAUCAGGAUUCUGGCACAGAGAAGUGAAGAGAUAUCCAAAGAGCUACUCUCUCUCAAAGUGAUCCAUCACUUACUGUACGCAAUGGGGAACCAGGAACAUGCAGAUUCCCAGAGACAAGCCAGCCUGGCUUUGGAGCAUUUUGUGCGGAUGUAUCCAGUGGUGGAAGAGCAUGUAUGCAGAGCUAUGGGCACCAGACUGUUUGAGUCUUUUAUGCACAAUGCUGAUGUCCUUCAUUUGAACAUGGAUGACAUUCAAGCUGACAUUUUACGCUCAAAUAAAGUGAACAUUUCAUGUGGGUAGCAGGUCUUAGCGUCCAGAUCUUUGAUGAGGAAAAUUAUGAAGGUCGGGUGGGUGAGUCCACAGUGGACUGUCCUUCUGUGGAGAACCGAUUUGGAAUGAAGGAUGUCCUCUCCAGUAAGGUACUCAGCGGGUCUUGGAUGCUUUGCAAGGGUCCUAACAGAGACGAUGGUUUUAAACUGGCGAAGCCGGAGUAUCCCUGCCGAGCACGGGAACGAGGAGACUCAGGAGAUACAAUACACACAGUCUUUAAUGGAAGUCAUAACCAGGGAACAUGGAGACCGCA